ensembl:lncRNA
CUGGAGGCCAAGGUAAUGCCAUCCAGAGUAAGAAUCUGCUUAGAUACCAUAUUUCUAAGAUUUUCAGGGCCGAGUACAAUAACCUCAGUUUGAUCUGAAUUAAGAAGCAGAAAGUUAGCGGCCAUCCAGGUCUUUAUGUCUUUAAGACAUUCCUGCAGUUUAACUAAUUGGUGUGUGUUACCUGGCUUCAUGGAUAGAUAGAGCUGGGUGUCAUCUGCAUAGCAGUGAAAAUGUAUGCUAUGUCUUCUAAUGAUGCUGCCUAAGGGAAGCAUGUAUAAUGUAAACAGAAUUGGUCCUAGCACUGAACCCUGUGGAACACCAUAAUUGACCUUAGUGUGUGAAGAGGACUCUCCAUUUACAUGAACAAAUUGGAGUCUAUUAGAUAGAUAUGAUACAAACCACUGCAGUGCAGUACCUGUAAUACCUACAGCAUGUUCUAAUCGCUCUAAUAGGAUAUUAUGAUCAACAGUAUCGAACGCUGCACUGAGGUCUAGCAGGACAAGCACAGAGAUGAGUCCACUGUCAGAGGCCAUAAGAAGAUCAUUUGUAACCUUCACUAAAGCUGUUUCUGUGCUGUGAUGAGCUCUGAAACCUGACUGAAACUCUUCAAAUAAGCCAUUCCUCUGCAGAUGAUCUGUUAGCUGUUUGACAACUACUCUUUCAAGGAUGUUUGAUAUGAAAGGAAGGUUGGAGAUUGGCCUAUAAUUAGCUAAGACAGCUGGGUCUAGAGAUGCUUUUUAAGUAAAGGUUUAACUACAGCCAGCUUGAAGGCCUGUGGUACAUAGCUGAUUAUUAGAGAUAGGUUGAUCAUAUUUAAGAUUAAAGCAUUAAUUAAUGGCAGGACUUCUUUGAGCAGUUUUGUAGGAAUGGGGUCUAAAAGACACGUUGAUGGUUUGGAGGAAGUAAUUAUUGAAGUUAACUCAGAAAGAUCAAUUGGAGAAAAAGAGUCUAACUUAACAUCGAUGGUACUAAAAGUAGCUGUAGAUAAUAUUACAUCUGUGGGAUGAUUAUUGGUAAUUUUUUCUCUAAUGAUAAAAAUUU